CUACGGGGGGCUGCAGUGGGGAAUAUUGCACAAUGGGCGCAAGCCUGAUGCAGCCAUGCCGCGUGUAUGAAGAAGGCCUUCGGGUUGUAAAGUACUUUCAGCGGGGAGGAAGGGAGUAAAGUUAAUACCUUUGCUCAUUGACGUUACCCGCAGAAGAAGCACCGGCUAACUCCGGCCAGCAGCCGCGGUAAUACGGAGGGUGCAAGCGUUAAUCGGAAUUACUGGGCGUAAAGCGCACGCAGGCGGUUUGUUAAGUCAGAUGUGAAAUCCCCGGGCUCAACCUGGGAACUGCAUCUGAACUGGCAGGCUUGAGUCUCGGAGAGGGGGGUAGAAUUCCAGGUGUAGCGGUGAAAUGCGUAGAGAUCUGGAGGAAUACCGGUGGCGAAGGCGGCCCCCUGGACGAAGACUGACGCUCAGGUGCGAAAGCGUGGGGAGCAAACAGGAUUAGGUACCCGAGUAGUC
rnacentral:rRNA from 1 species